rnacentral:rRNA from 1 species
AUUGAACGCUGGCGGAAUGCUUUACACAUGCAAGUCGAACGGCAGCACGGACUUCGGUCUGGUGGCGAGUGGCGAACGGGUGAGUAAUGUAUCGGAACGUGCCCAGUCGUGGGGGAUAACGUAGUGAAAAUUACGCUAAUACCGCAUACGAUCUAUGGAUGAAAGCGGGGGAUCGCAAGACCUCGCGCGAUUGGAGCGGCCGAUAUCAAAUUAGGUAGUUGGUGGGGUAAAGGCCCACCAAGCCAACGAUCUGUAGCUGGUCUGGGAGGGCGACCAGCCACACUGGAACUGAGACACGGUCCAGACUCCUACGGGAGGCAGCAGUGGGGAAUUUUGGACAAUGGGCGAAAGCCUGAUCCAGCCAUUCCGCGUGCAGGAUGAAGGCCCUCGGGUUGUAAACUGCUUUUGUACAGAACGAAAAGGUUUCUACUAAUACUAGGAGCUCAUGACGGUACUGUAAGAAUAAGCACCGGCUAACUACGUGCCAGCCGCCGCCGUAA